rnacentral:rRNA from 1 species
CCUACGGGUGGCUGCAGUGGGGAAUAUUGCGCAAUGGGCGAAAGCCUGACGCAGCAACGCCGCGUGCGGGAAGAAGGCCUUUGGGUUGUAAACCGCUUUCAGCAGGGAAGAAACUGACGGUACCUGCAGAAGAAGGUCCGGCUAACUACGUGCCAGCAGCCGCGGUAAUACGUAGGGACCAAGCGUUAUCCGGAUUUAUUGGGCGUAAAGAGCUCGUAGGCGGUUCUGUAAGUCGGGUGUGAAAAAUCUGGGCUCAACCCAGUGGAGCACCCGAUACUGCAGUGACUGGAGUCCGGUAGAGGAGUGUGGAAUUCCUGGUGUAGCGGUGAAAUGCGCAGAUAUCAGGAGGAACACCAACAGCGAAGGCAGCACUCUGGGCCGGUACUGACGCUGAGGAGCGAAAGCGUGGGGAGCGAACAGGCUUAGAUACCCCUGUAGUC